CAGUCGAGCGAACUGACGAGGAGCUUGCUCCUUUGACGUUAGCGGCGGACGGGUGAGUAACACGUGGGUAACCUACCUAUAAGACUGGAAUAACUCCGGGAAACCGGGGCUAAUGCCGGAUAACAUAUCGAACCGCAUGGUUCGAUAGUGAAAGACGGUCUUGCUGUCACUUAUAGAUGGACCCGCGCCGUAUUAGCUAGUUGGUGAGGUAACGGCUCACCAAGGCAACGAUACGUAGCCGACCUGAGAGGGUGAUCGGCCACACUGGAACUGAGACACGGUCCAGACUCCUACGGGAGGCAGCAGUAGGGAAUCUUCCGCAAUGGGCGAAAGCCUGACGGAGCAACGCCGCGUGAGUGAUGAAGGUCUUCGGAUCGUAAAGCUCUGUUGUUAGGGAAGAACAAAUGUGUAAGUAACUGUGCACAUCUUGACGGUACCUAACCAGAAAGCCACGGCUAACUACGUGCCAGCAGCCGCGGUAAUACGUAGGUGGCAAGCGUUAUCCGGAAUUAUUGGGCGUAAAGCGCGCGUAGGCGGUUUUUUAAGUCUGAUGUGAAAGCCCACGGCUCAACCGUGGAGGGUCAUUGGAAACUGGAAAACUUGAGUGCAGAAGAGGAAAGUGGAAUUCCAUGUGUAGCGGUGAAAUGCGCAGAGAUAUGGAGGAACACCAGUGGCGAAGGCUGGCUUUCCUGGUCUGUACUGACGCUGAUGUGCGAAAGCGUGGGAGAUCAACAUGGAUAGAUACGCUGGUAGUCACGCGUAACGAUGA
rnacentral:rRNA from 1 species